UUCGGGGGGGGCAAGCGUUGUUCGGAAUUACUGGGCGUAAAGGGCUCUUAGGCGGCCAACUAAGUCAGACGUGAAAUCCCCAGGCUCAACCUGGGAACUGCGUCUGAUACUGGAUGGCUUGAAUCCGGGAGAGGGAUGCAGAAUUCCAGGUGUAGCGGUGAAAUGCGUAGAUAUCUGGAGGAAUACCGGUGGCGAAGGCGGCAUCCUGGACCGGCAUUGACGCUGAGGAGCGAAAGCCAGGGGAGCAAACGGG
rnacentral:rRNA from 1 species